rnacentral:rRNA from 1 species
AUUGAACGCUGGCGGCAGGCCUAACACAUGCAAGUCGAGCGAGCGGCGGACGGGUGAGUAAUGUAUGGGGAUCUGCCCGAUAGAGGGGGAUAACUACUGGAAACGGUAGCUAAUACCGCAUACUAUCGGAUGAACCCAUAUGGGAUUAGCUAGUAGGUGGGGUAACGGCGCACCUAGGCGACGAUCUCUAGCUGGUCUGAGAGGAUGAUCAGCCCAACUGGAACUGAGAAACGGCCCCGACGCCGACGAGAGGCACCAGUGGGGAAUAUUGCACAAUGGGCGCAAGCCUGAUGCAGCCAUGCCGCGUGUAUGAAGAAGGCCUUAGGGUUGUAAAGUACCUUCAGCGGGGAGGCGUUACCCGCAGAAGAAGCACCGGCUAACUCCGUGCCAGCCGCCGCGGUAAUAC